rnacentral:rRNA from 1 species
CUUCGGCCGUAAACCCCUGUCAUUCGCGAUCAAGGCGUUUGGCCUAAUACGCCAAAUGUUGAUAGUAGCGGAAGAGGAAGGGACGGCUAACUCUGUAC